GAUCAUGAACGAGUUGGAAAAAGCAGUAGGCAGAAACAGAAAUUCAAUCACAUAGCUGGGUCGAAAAGUUUUGCUUGUGUAGCUGAGGCCGAGGAACUGUCGUCCGGUCAAAAAGUUGGACGCCUUCAACUUUUGACAUUACACAUAGGAAGAAAGAUGGAUCUCUUAUGACUCCUGAAGCUGCAGAAAUUAUGGAAAAACUAAAGGAUAAAAAGGUGGAGUACGAAGCGAUUGCUUCCAGUGAUAGUUCUGUUCAUAUUGAUGACAUUAAUAACUGAAUUAUUACUGAAGUUUUGGGUCCUAAAAGGAUCUUUUGUUGACCCAACCCAAUAUUUUGGAUCCAGCUCACAACAUUACAUGCCUUCGGGCAGUCAGGCUCAACCUGAAGUUCAGAGGUUAAGAGACCAGAUGGCUCAGAUGCAAGUGGCCACAGUUGAGCAAAUUACACAACUUAAAGCGGAGGCAGCAUCGAGAGAAGCUGAGGUUCAAAAAAGAUAUGAAGAACUCCAGCUACAACUUAAAGUAGAUGUAGCAGCGAGAGAAGCUGAGGUUCAAAGGACGUAUGAAGAACUCCACCUGCAGCUUAAAGCAUAUGCGACAGUGAGGGAAACAAAGCAGAGCAAAAAGUACGACGAACUCCAACAGUAGCUUCAGAAUAUGAUGAAGAUGUUUCAGCAGUUGCAACAUCCGCCGUCUUAGACUA